AUAUCACUCCCUCCGUCCAAAAAUACUUGUCAUCAAAAUGAUAAAAGUGAAUGUUUCUAGAAUACGUUUAAAAACAUCCACUUUUAUCCAUUUUGAUAACAAAUAUUUCCGGACGGAGGGAGUACUAU
rfam:Triticum aestivum genome assembly, contig: Triticum_aestivum_CS42_TGACv1_scaffold_329888_4BS